CCCUUAGAUGAUUUGGGCUGCACGCGCGCUACACUGACCCUAACAAUGAGCAACUGUCUGGCCUGAGAUGGCUGGGUAGCCUUUUCAACCCAUGUCAUGAUUGGGCUAGAUUUUUGUAAGUCUUGAUCUCUAACGAGGAAUCCCUAGUAUGCGUGAAUCAUCAAUCCAUGCAGAUUAUGUCCCUGCCCUUUGUACACACCACCCGUCGCUCCUACUGAUUGGGUGAUCCGGUGAGCUGUUCGGCCAUAGCAAUGUUUCUUGAGCAGGGCAAUGAAUGUUUCGCAAACCUUGCCACUUAGAGGAAGGAGAAGUCGUAACAA
rnacentral:rRNA from 1 species